rnacentral:rRNA from 1 species
UUAACUUAAAUUUAAUUCUGUAGUAUUAAAAGUUUUCUUUAAAUUAAAAAAAUUUGGCGGUAUUAAAGUCCUAUUAGAGGAACUUGUAAUUUAAUCGAUAAUCCCCGAGAAUCUUUCCUUGGUUUGUUUUCAGCUUAUAUAUCGUCGUCUUCAGAUUACAUUUGAUUAGAUGUUUUUAAAUAAAUUUUUAUAAGUCAGAUCAAGGUGUAGUUUAUGCUAAGGUUAUUAUGAGUUACAAUAGUUGUAAUUAUAUGAAUAUUGUUUUGUAAUAAACAAUUGAAGGUGGAUUUAAUUGUAAAAUUUAAUUAUUUUUUAUUUUUGAAUAGGUACUUUUAUAUGU